rnacentral:rRNA from 1 species
UACGUAGGGGGCAAGCGUUGUCCGGAUUUAUUGGGCGUAAAGAGCUCGUAGGCGGCUCAGUAAGUCGGGUGUGAAACCUCCAGGCUCAACCUGGAGACGCCACUCGAUACUGCUGUGGCUUGAGUCCGGUAGGGGAGCACGGGAAUUCCUGGUGUAGCGGUGAAAUGCGCAGAUAUCAGGAGGAACACCAGUGGCGAAGGCGGUGCUCUGGGCCGGAACUGACGCUGAGGAGCGAAAGCGUGGGGAGCAAACAGG